CAGGAACUGUGAUCACCUCACCCACCAAGUCAUUGCUACUAGAACUUCUUAGACAAGAAACAUGAAGUGAGACUGAAGUGGAUAGGCAUCCGGCAGCCAGCCAAGAUCAACACAUCACAAUAGUUCAAAACCCUAAAUCUUACUGUUCCUCUGCAGAACUGUGAAUAUCCUUUGCUGGAAGGAAUGUUUAUUACUGCUUUUACAAAUAUCUGCUAGCAACCACUGAGAAUAUAAGGUUUAUGACCAACAGAAGUAUCACUUCAAGCAACAAAAAGGGCAGUGAAUAAACUUCCCUAAUGGGAAAUUCACUGUGACAAACUAAAAGAGAGAAACUUCUUUUGAAGCUGCAGAAAGUAGAUCUACAAACUGGCCCUGUUAGAUAAAUUCCCUGAAAUAAAAUCACUAGCUCUCUGUAUCUGUAGUCACACAAUUUCCCAUUUCUCCAGGAUGUUUAGUUCAAGGCCAAGUAAGCAGCUUCAGUAGAUGGCAUUCAGGAAAUUCAACUGUUCAAGUCAAAGCACACUCAGGGCAAGCUGUGUCAUCUCUUGGAGACACUAGCACAGCAAAAACUUGAACAGUAAUGGAGAAGUGAUUGUGUUGCUUUUAGUGACUUUGGAUUGCUCCUCAGACUUUUAAAUUUGCAUUCUUGGUGCAACUUUUCACUGUACUAUUAUACUACAAUAAAC